rnacentral:rRNA from 1 species
AGUCGUUGUCGUCAGCUCGUGUCGUGAGAUGUUGGGUUAAGUCCCGCAACGAGCGCAACCCUUGUCUUUAGUUGCCAUCAUUAAGUUGGGCACUCUAAAGAGACUGCCGGUGUCAAACCGGAGGAAGGUGGGGAUGACGUCAAGUCCUCAUGGCCUUUAUGACCAGGGCUACACACGUACUACAAUGGCCGGUACAAAGGGCAGCGACACAGCGAUGUGAAGCCAAUCCCGAAAAGCCGGUCUCAGUCCGGAUUGGAGUCUGCAACUCGACUCCAUGAAGUUGGAAUCGCUAGUAAUCGUGGAUCAGCACGCCACGUCGAUACGUUCCGGCCUU